rnacentral:tRNA from 1 species
CAGAAGAUAGUUUAAUAAAAAUGCUAGUUUUGGGGACUGGUGUUAGGAGUUGGCUCCUUCUUUUGA